rnacentral:tRNA from 1 species
GGCUUUAUAUUCAACAAUGAUUUAGAAUUGCAAAUUCUAAGGUGUAAUGUUUACUAAGGCCU